GGUGUUCCUUAUCUAUCGCUAAUAAUUGGUUUAGUUGGAGCCUGUCUUCCUGUAUUCACUAAGGUAAACACACGAAGACAGGCCCAUUGCUUUCGUUGCCGCAUUCAGAUCCCGU
rnacentral:sRNA from 1 species